GACGAACGCUGGCGGCGUGCUUAACACAUGCAAGUCGAACGGAAAGGCCCUGCUUUUGUGGGGUGCUCGAGUGGCGAACGGGUGAGUAACACGUGAGUAACCUGCCCUUGACUUUGGGAUAACUUCAGGAAACUGGGGCUAAUACCGGAUAGGAGCUCCUGCUGCAUGGUGGGCGUUGGAAAGUUUCGGCGGUUGGGGAUGGACUCGCGGCUUAUCAGCUUGUUGGUGGGGUAGUGGCUUACCAAGGCUUUGACGGGUAGCCGGCCUGGGAGGGUGACCGGCCACAAUGGGACUGCGGGACGGCGCAGACGGCUACGGGAGGCAGUAGGGGGGAGUCUGACACAGCGAGCGGAAGCGUGUGACGGAGACGCUGGGUUCGGAAUGACGGCUUUCGGGGUGAGAACCGCUGUCGCCUGUGACGAAGCGGGAGUGACGGUAAUGGAUAAAGAAGCACCGGCUAACUACGUG
rnacentral:rRNA from 1 species